rnacentral:rRNA from 1 species
UACGGAGGGGGCUAGCGUUGUUCGGAAUUACUGGGCGUAAAGCGCACGUAGGCGGCUUUGUAAGUUAGAGGUGAAAGCCCGGGGCUCAACUCCGGAAUUGCCUUUAAGACUGCAUCGCUAGAAUUGUGGAGAGGUAAGUGGAAUUCCGAGUGUAGAGGUGAAAUUCGUAGAUAUUCGGAAGAACACCAGUGGCGAAGGCGACUUACUGGACACAUAUUGACGCUGAGGUGCGAAAGCGUGGGGAGCAACAGG